rnacentral:rRNA from 1 species
GACGAACGCUGGCGGCGUGCUUAACACAUGCAAGUCGAACGAAGUGGCGAACGGGUGAGUAACGCGUAAUCAACCUGCCCUUCAGCGGGGGAUAACAGUUGGAAACGACUACUAAUACCUCCUACUUAAGGUGGGGAUUGCGUCUGAUUAGCUAGUUGGAGGGGUAACGGCCCACCAAGGCGAUGAUCAGUAGCCGGUCUGAGAGGAUGAACGGCCACAUGGGGACUGAGACAAGGACCAGACUCCUACGGGAGGCAGCAGUGGGGAAUCUUACGAAAUGGACGAAAGUCUGACGGAGCAACGCCGCGUGAGUGAUGACGGCCUUCGGGUUGUAAAGCUCUGUUAAUCGGGACGCGGUACCGGAAUAGAAAGCCACGGCUAACUACGUGCCAGCAGCCGCGGUAAUUC